UUCUUACGGGUGACGGGGAAUCAGGGUUCGAUUCCGGAGAGGGAGCCUGAGAAACGGCUACCACAUCCAAGGAAGGCAGCAGGCGCGCAAAUUACCCAUUCCCGACGCGGGGAGGUAGUGACGAAAAAUAACAAUGCAGGACUCGUUCGAGGCCCUGUAAUUGGAAUGAGUACACUUUAAAAGCUUUAACGAGUAUCCAUUGGAGGGCAAGUCUGGUGCCAGCAGCCGCGGUAAUUCCAGCUCCAAAAGUAUAUAUUUAAGUUGUUGCGGUUAAAAAGCUCGUAGUUGGAUUUUGGGCGCAGGCGGCCGGUCCGUCGCAAGGCGUGUACUGGACGUCCUGGCCUUCCCUCCGGUUCUCCGCCGGUGCUCUUGACUGAGUGUCGGCGGCGGCCGGAACGUUUACUUUGAAAAAAUUAGAGUGUUCAAAGCAGGCUCUCGAGCCUGGAUAAUGGUGCAUGGAAUAAUGGAAUAGGACCUCGGUUCUAUUUUGUUGGUUUUCGGAGCGCGAGGUAAUGAUUAAGAGGGACAGACGGGGGCAUUCGUACUGUGCCGUUAGAGGUGAAAUUCUUGGAUCGGCGCAAGACGAACGACUGCGAAAGCAUUUGCCAAGAAUGUUUUCUUUAAUCAAGAGCGAAAGUCAGAGGUUCGAAGACGAUCAGAUACCGUCCUAGUGAAUACUAUAAACGAUGCCAACUAGCGAUUGGGG
rnacentral:ncRNA from 1 species